UCGUUUAUUUGAUAGUACCUUACUACAUGGAUACCUGUGGUAAUUCUAGAGCUAAUACAUGCUAAAAACCCCGACUUCGGAAGGGGUGUAUUUAUUAGAUAAAAAACCAACGCCCUUCGGGGCUCCUUGGUGAAUCAUAAUAACUAAACGAAUCGCAUGGCCUUGCGCCGGCGAUGGUUCAUUCAAAUUUCUGCCCUAUCAACUUUCGAUGGUAGGAUAGUGGCCUACCAUGGUGGCAACGGGUAACGGGGAAUUAGGGUUCGAUUCCGGAGAGGGAGCCUGAGAAACGGCUACCACAUCCAAGGAAGGCAGCAGGCGCGCAAAUUACCCAAUCCCGACACGGGGAGGUAGUGACAAUAAAUACUGAUACGGGGCUCUUUCGGGUCUCGUAAUCGGAAUGAGAACGACCUAAAUAACCUAACGAGGAACAAUUGGAGGGCAAGUCUGGUGCCAGCAGCCGCGGUAAUUCCAGCUCCAAUAGCGUAUAUUAAAGUUGUUGCAGUUAAAAAGCUCGUAGUUGAACCUUGGGUCUGGCUGGCCGGUCCGCCUCACCGCGAGUACUGGUCCGGCCGGACCUUUCCUUCUGGGGAACCUCAUGGCCUUCACUGGCUGUGGGGGGAACCAGGACUUUUACUGUGAAAAAAUUAGAGUGUUCAAAGCAGGCCUUUGCUCGAAUACAUUAGCAUGGAAUAAUAGAAUAGGACGUGCGGUUCUAUUUUGUUGGUUUCUAGGACCGCCGUAAUGAUUAAUAGGGAUAGUCGGGGGCGUCAGUAUUCAGCUGUCAGAAGUGAAAUUCUUGGAUUGG
rnacentral:rRNA from 1 species